UACGUAGGGGGCAAGCGUUGUCCGGAAUCAUUGGGCGUAAAGAGCUCGUAGGCGGUCUGUCGCGUCGGAUGUGAAAAUCCAGGGCUCAACCCUGGACCUGCAUUCGAUACGGGCAGACUAGAGUUCGGUAGGGGAGACUGGAAUUCCUGGUGUAGCGGUGAAAUGCGCAGAUAUCAGGAGGAACACCGGUGGCGAAGGCGGGUCUCUGGGCCGAAACUGACGCUGAGGAGCGAAAGCGUGGGUAGCAAACAGG
rnacentral:rRNA from 1 species